GUGGGUAUAGCUCAGUGGCAAGAGUGCAUGCCUAGCAUACACAGGGUCCUGGGUUCAAUCCCCAGUACCUCUA
rnacentral:tRNA from 1 species